rnacentral:piRNA from 1 species
CCAACAAGGCUUGCAGAUUCCUAAGU